rnacentral:rRNA from 1 species
GACGAACGCUGGCGGCGUGCUUAACACAUGCAAGUCGAACGGUGAAGCGCCUUCCUUUUUGGUGGGUGUGGAUGAGUGGCGAACGUGUGAGUAACACGUGAGUAACCUUCCCCCUUCUUCUGGAUAACCGCAUGAAAGUGUUGCUAAUACGGGAUAUUCUGGGUCUGUCGCAUGAUGGGUCUGGGAAAGAUAUUGUUUCGGUGGGGGAUGGGCUCGCGGCUUAUCAGCUUGUUGGUGGGGUGAUGGCCUACCAAGGCGGUGACGGGUAGCCGGCCUGAGAGGGCCGACGGUCACACAGGGGAGGCGCGACGGACAAGACUCCGACGGGCGGCAGCAGUGGGGAAUAUUGCACGAUGGGCGGAAGGCUGAUGCAGCGACGCCGCGGGAGGGAUGGAGGCCGUCGGGUUGUGAACCUCUUUCGCCAGUGAAGCAGGCUUGCAUCGUUUGUGGGUGGGUUGACGGUAGCUGGAUAAGAAGCGCCGGCUAACUACGUG